GCAAGUCUCAGCUUUCUCAGAGCUCUGGACUUUCCAGUUUUUGAGUUUCUCCUACCUUUGUCCACAGUCAGGGAUUUCUGGAUCACCUGCCAGCUCCUGAGAUAUCUCUUCUUGUUCUUCCUCAGAGGUGCUGGAAGGGAGGGGCAUUUGUGCCUAGGGUGGCUUCUCUGGCUGUGGGCUGGUUGGGACCAUCCUAGAUCUACAGCACUUUGUUCCUGGAUCACAGCACCCUGUACCAUCUCCCUGUAGUCUGUGAGGCAAAGUUGAAGUGCAGACAUAAGCCAAGGUCUUUGCUGAGCAUCAAGAAGAAGCAGGGAUUACUCUUCAAAGACAAAACUUACCAAAGCCAGGCCUUCUCUGAAAACGAAAAGAGACAGCAAGCAAAUAGACCACCUAGUCCCCGAGGCUGCAGUCUACUUCCCCUUGUCUCCAGAGCCUGGCACGUGUACCUAGCACACAGUGGGUGCUCCACAUGUGGCUGACGGAGGAGGGAACACAACAGUAAUGGUUCAUUCAAGUUCAUGGGAAACUAUAACUGGUUCCUGUGCCUGUCCAGAGCAAUGGCCAACCUCUCUUGAAGGGAAGCAGUCGUCCUGACAAAUCAUCUGGGAGACACAUUCCUGAGAAGCUGGAGAUGAGAAAGGAAAGAAGAGUAAGGGAGAAAAAAAACUAGAAGCUCAGAGGAUCUGAAUUUGAAUUCUGGAAGGUCUCUCCAAGAUCAGGAAGAACGUAGGCCAAGAGGAGCUAAGAGAGCAAAGAAAAAACCCUGAAGUGGUAUCUG